GAUGCAUUCGGAAGUUUUGUAGGACUGAGCAGUCACUAUUGGAGACAUGGCUUGGUGGUAUAAAAGGUUUUGGAUACUUGUCACUACCUUGUGUGUCUUGCGGGAUGCUAGUGGAUAUGGAGGAUGGAGUAAAGGACCUCUUCAGGAUCAGGGCACUGCAGAUGUCUCUGGCCCUCUUCUUCAGUUCCCAAAACCUGGCCUUUCAUCUGAUGGAUCCUAUCUUUCCAGAACCCUGACAGA